GGGGAUUAGUGGCGAACGGGUGAGUAACACGUGGGCAAUCUGCCCUGCACUCUGGGACAAGCCCUGGAAACGGGGUCUAAUACCGGAUAUGACACACGACCGCAUGGUCUGUGUGUGGAAAGCUCCGGCGGUGCAGGAUGAGCCCGCGGCCUAUCAGCUUGUUGGUGGGGUAGUGGCCUACCAAGGCGACGACGGGUAGCCGGCCUGAGAGGGCGACCGGCCACACUGGGACUGAGACACGGCCCAG
rnacentral:rRNA from 1 species